GGUAUUUCCGUGAGAAGCAUAGGCAUGAGUUCCAUUCUCCACCCCCAUGUACCCAAACGCCAUCCCGCAGAAGAGAGGGGCAGCGAGGUGGAAAUCUGAAAGAGCCCGGGAAUUUGCCUAAGAGGACACAUUGCAUUCUUUCUCCUGGAUACAGCCGAAAUCUCGUUACUGCACUCUGUCCGGUGAUGCUGAGAAGGAAUGGUUCGGCUGUGGACAAAGAGAAGAACCAGCAUCUUUCUUCGCUCCUCUGACUGGUCACCAUCAUGCCACCUACCACCCAGCAGUCCCUUCAUGGAGGCUAAUCCAAGAGAGAGAGCAUGCUUUCUCUGGUCAAGGCCGCGUCAAGAUUCAACAGCACUCCGCACGGGGGAAUAAUUUGGUGCCCCUUCAUAUUGGGAAAAAACAGAUUCCCCUCUCACUAGUGGUCUACACCAGACGGGGAAGCUCUGUUCUAUGGAGUCUUUAGGAACCCACACUUCUUUAUCUUGCUGUUCUGCCAUGCGUGGCCUCCCAUGCCCAGGUCACCUCGUGGUCCAAGAUGACUCUUACAGCUGCAUUCUGAUCCUAAAGGAUGAAGAAGAAACAGCAGAGGCUUCCCAGAACUGUCACAUGAUAUUUCUGAAUGUAUCUCAUUGGCCAGAACUCAUCUACGUGGUCACUCCUAGCUCUGAGAUCUGGGAAUUAGAGUCUUUAUUCGGGGUGGCCACGUGCCCAGCCACAAGAGCUGAUUCUCUUCACACGGAGAAAGGGGACCAAGGAUGCUGUGGGCUUAGAAGCAUACUCUGCCAAACUUAUUAAUUAAAACGUUUUAUGCAGACAGA